AUACGUAGGGGGCGAGCGUUGUCCGGAAUGAUUGGGCGUAAAGGGCGCGUAGGCGGCCCGGUAAGUCUGGAGUGAAAGUCCUGCUUUUAAGGUGGGAAUUGCUUUGGAUACUGUCGGGCUUGAGUGCAGGAGAGGUAAGUGGAAUUCCCAGUGUAGCGGUGAAAUGCGUAGAGAUUGGGAGGAACACCAGUGGCGAAGGCGACUUACUGGACUGUAACUGACGCUGAGACGCGAAAGUGUGGGGAGCAAACAGGAUUAGAUACCCUGGUAGUCCACACUGUAAACGAUGAAUGCUAGGUGUAGGGGGUAUCGACCCCUUCUGUGCCGCAGUUAACACAAUAAGCAUUCCGCCUGGGGAGUACGGCCGCAAGGUUGAAACUCAAAUGAAUUGACGGGG
rnacentral:rRNA from 1 species